UUCAGUCCUGCGCCUUUGUGCUGCUGUCCUUUGCCUGUAUACACACACACACACUCACUCACACAUACUCUGUGGUUUUUUUUGACUGUGCGUCUUUCAUUAUUUUUGCAAAUGAAGUUCCUCAAACACGAAAACUGGGAAGUCCUCUGACUGCGAGCAGCAGAGCGAAGGCUAACCGAGCGUGCGCGCGCACACACAGCCUCGAACAGAGACUGGUUGUGUAGACGGAUGAGAGGACCAGCGAGAUCCCGCUACACAAUCUUCUCUCCUUGACGGGACGCAACACGACGCGCGCACUCUACUGUGGUCGUCUAGCAGCCUGGAGGUCGUGCAGCUGUCAUGAAGUGAUCUGCGACUGCGCCGCGCACACGGAAGCGCUCCCCGAUCCAUCAUGGCCACGGGCACCGGCUCCCUCGCCGUCUCCGAGUGGCUCAGCUCCCUGCACCUGGAGCAGUACGCCGACACCUUCCAGGCCCAAGGGCGCGCCCUGCUGUCCCAGUGCCGGGACCUCACCGCCUGGGACCUGGAGCAGCUGGGCGUCGGGCCCCCGGGGCACCAGCGCCGCAUCCUGGCCAGCCUGCAGAGGGCGUUCUCCGAGGGCUCCGGCGACGACGCCCCAGAGGUCCGUCCCGUGCCCAGGCCGAGGUCCAAGCAACGCCGUCCGGCAGGGCACUCUGAGGUGGGCGGGGCUUCUCAGGACAGACCUCCACCCCCCAUCCCUCCCAGGGUGACCCUGAACCGCCCCCCGGUCAGAUUCCCGCCGAUGCCCGCCCCCAGGCCACGCCCACAGACCCUCCUCCUGCAACCCACAGAGCAGCAGCUGCAGACCCCCAGCGGCCUGAAGAUGUCCCCGACCUCCCCGUCGUCCGUCUCCACAUCCUCAUCUUCCUCGUCUUCGUCUUCCUGCUUCGCCUCGGAGCAGCCGCAGCCCAGCGAUCAGCCCUCGUUCCUGGAAUCGGGAACUAAAGGACUUCCCCCGCUGCCCCCCAAGGCCCACCCUGUGGGGGUUGUUAAGGAGGUGCGCUGCCCCCCUCUGCUACCUCGGAGACCCCCCGUUCUUCCGCCCAGGUCCACCGCAACCUUGACCUCUCCCACCGCAAGACGGUCGUCUGCGCCGUCGGCCUUCGCCUCCUCCUCUGGCCUCUUCCCUCAGCGGGACGUGUCCCCGACACACACUGCUCGCACACACACACACACUCCUCCCUGGCUCCACCAGCGAUGGGUCUUGGGCUCGGGUCCCGACAGCAGCACGUCUCCGGUCGAUGACGGCAGCGUCUUUGAGAAGGUUCCGGACGUCCCGCCCCGGACCACGUUCCCCAGCCAGUCCUCCGUCCCGGUGGCCCAGCCCAGAGGGGGGGUCCUGCACCCGACCCGCAAAACCAGAUCUUCGUCUAGUGACAGCUCAGAAGGCUAUGAGGACCCAGAUAUCCUGUAUAACCAAGGAUUUGAGAUUGUAAACAUGACAGCAAAGGGCAACGGCUUCCUGUCUGUAACAGAGGAGCAUCGCAAACGCCAGAAUAGCCUGUACAGCGAUGACGAGAUUCUGGAGAGUGACGGCGAAGCGACCCCCGACCCCAUGUCCAAAUUGGAGUCGUUUAACCAGAGCGUGUACCUCCCUGUGAGCUCCCUGCCCCCCAACGCACCCUCUGUGGACCCAAGCCUUCCCCCCUCCCCCGUCAUCAAGAUGGGCUGGUUGGACAAGAACCCGCCCCAGGGGUCCAUGAUCUAUCAGCGCCGCUGGGUCAAGCUUGACGCCGACUACCUGAGAUACUUCGACAAUGAGAAGGAGGUCUACUCAAAGAGGAUCAUCUCAACUUCCUCCAUCGCCAGUGUCUCUAACAUUGGGGAGCAGAAGUUCGAGGUGGUGACCCACAGCCGGACGUUCGUCUUUCGGGCUGAGAGUGACCUCGAGAGGAACGGGUGGGUGUCGGUGCUGCAGGAUGCCGUGGGGGAUCCCCGGUGCCGAAGGGAAUCCAAGGGCUCCUUGCUCAGCCUUUCCGCCACGAACCACGAGAUGCAGGGCUACCUGGAGCUCCGAGGUCUGCGCUCAAAGCUCUACGUGGUGUUGUGUAACGACAAGGUCUUCCUUUACAAGAACCAGGAGGACUACAAGCUGGGCAUCGGAAUCACCUUCAUUGAUAUGAACGUUGGCAACGUGAAGGACACGGACCGCAGGUCCUUCGACCUCACGACCCCAUAUAGGAUCUUUAGCUUCAUGGCUGAGACGGACCAGCUGAAGGAGCAAUGGGUGGAGGCCAUGCGUGAGUCCAUCGCCGAGGCCCUCUCCAACUACGAGGUGGCCACGAAAAUCUGGUCCGAGGAGUCCAAUGGAUUUUGCGCUGACUGCGGUGCCACCAAGCCGGAGUGGGCCGCCAUCAACCUGUGCGUGGUGUUCUGCAAGCGCUGUGCAGGACAGCACAGGGGCCUCGGACCCAGCAUCUCGAAAGUACGCAGUCUGAAAAUGGACAAGAAGGUCUGGACGGAAGAGCUCAUUCAGCUCUUCAUGUUGCUCGGCAACGCACGAGCGAACCUCUUCUGGGCCGCCAACGUACCCCCGAGCGAGGCUCUGCUGCCAUCUAGCUGCACGGAGGACCGUCGACGAUUCAUCACUGCCAAAUACCGGGAGGGGAAGUACCGGAGAUACCACCAGCUUUUCGGUAACCAACAGGAGCUCGACAAUGCUCUUUGCAUCAACGUACAGUCCAACGACGUUCUGGAGACCCUGUCCCUGGUGUUCUGCGGAGCCGAUGUGAACUGUUACACUGGGAACCCAGAAUACCCCACUCCCAUCGCCCUGGCCCAGAGCUUCAACCAGAAGCUGCAGGUGGAGUUCCUGAGCCAGAACCGGAACACGGAAAUUCCACGGUCCGAAGUAGGUGGCGGUCACACGGAGACAGUGCACUACAUGGCCCCUCCCUCAAUCACGCACAAUGGCUUCCUUUUUAAGACUGCCUCUGUGGGGCGUCCAAUCACAGAGCGGAAGGCCAAGGAAGAGUUCAGCAGGCGCUGGUGUACUCUAAAUGAUGGCCACUUCAACUACUAUGAGAGCGACAAGAACUCGACCCCUAAUGGCGUGCUGAAGAUGAAGGAGAUCGUGUGCCUUGCUGUCAAUCCUCCCGAGAAACAUGGGUACAACCACACGUUCGAGAUCUACUCUGAUUCGGAGCGCCUCUAUUUGUUUGGCGCCGACAACCUAGAGACUGUGAAGGAGUGGGUCAAGUCCAUCACCAAGUCAUUCAUCCCAGCCAGCGCCGAGGACCUGCUGAACCGGGACUUCGAGCGGAUCGGGAAGCUGCGCUACAAGGACGGCCUGAACCUGCAGAGUCCCAAAUUGGGCUGGUUCGCCCUGGUGGGCUCUACGCUUCACGCCUGCUUUGAGGACAGCGAGGGCGAGGAGGCCAUCCAUCUCCGGAAGCUGCAGGAGCUAUCCAUCCAGCAGGAGAACGAGGUCCUUGUUCUGGUGGAAAGAGGGAGGACGCUGUACAUCGAGGGCGAGCGGAAGCUGGACUUCCUCAGCUGGUCGGCGGCCAUCCAGCAAGCGGCCGGCAGCUCGGGCGACACCCUGAGCCAACAGCAGCUGACGGAGGCGGAUAUUCCCGUCAUCGUGGACCGCUGCAUCCACUACAUCACCCAGUGCGGCUUGACUUCAGAAGGGAUCUACCGCAAGAGCGGCGUGAACUCCAAGAUCGCCGCCCUGCUGGAGAUGUUCCGCCGCGACGCGCGCAGCGUGCGCCUCAAGGAAGGCGAGCACCAGGUGGACGACGUGUCCAACGUGCUCAAGCGGUUCUUCCGCGACGUCGAGGGGGGCAUCUUCACCAGCCAAGCCUCGCAGCAGUGGCUCAGUACCGCAGCUGUGACGGACGAGAGUGCGAAGAUAGCGCAGUACCAGUUUCUGCUGGGCAGCCUGCCGCGGGUGAACAAGGCCACGCUGCAGGCUCUGGUCAACCACCUCUACUGCGUUCAACGCUUCGCAGACCACAACCAGAUGAACCUGCACAACCUGGCCAUCGUCUUCGGACCGUCCCUCUUCCAAACGGACGGGAAGGACUACAACGCCGGCCGGGUCGUCGAGGAGCUCAUAGAACACUACGUGGCCAUCUUCAAUGUGAACGAGCAGCAGCUGCAGAAACAGCUGGAUGAGAUCACAGUCAUCAAUAUGUUGCGAAAGAACCCGAAGGUCCCGGCCUUGGGCUCUGGAGACUUCAUCUGCACCGUGUAUCUGGAGGAGAAGAAGCAGAGCGCCGAGCAGUCCGUCAAGAUCCCAGCCACCAUGACUGCAGCCGAGCUCACUUUCGAGAUCCUGGACCGGCGGAAGAUCUCCCUGCGCGAGAAGGACUACUGGUGCUGCUUCGAGGUCAACGAAAAGGAGGAGACAGAGCGACCGCUGCACUACCAGGAGAAAGUGUUGCCCGUCCUCCAGUCGCUGGGCACAGACAGCUACCUGGUGGUGAAGAAGCACUUCUCCAUGGAGGCCAUGCUGGUCUACCUGGCCAGCAAGGUGGACGUGUCCAAACAUGGCAUGAUGAAGUUCCGCGAAGAGCGCAGCCUGCUGGGCCUGGGGAUCAGCGGCUUCCACGACCGCUACUUCAUCCUCACCAGCACCUCCCUCAGGCUCUAUAAGGAAGUGCGGAGCAACCGGCCGGAGAAGGAGUGGCCAGUGAAGUGUCUGAAGGUCUACCAGGGAGUGAAGAAGAAGCUCCGCCCUCCUACUUGCUGGGGGCUGACGGUGGUGUAUGAGAGCGAGAGGCAGGAGAAGCCUGAGAAACAGCAGUGGUACCUGUGCUGCGACACGCAGACCGAGAUGAGGGAGUGGUUCGCCACGUUCAUGAGCAUCCAGCACGACGGCAACGUGUGGCCGGCAGAGUCGAUGAAGGCGCGGGCCAGCCGGGCCGUGCCCCUGGACGUCAGGUUGGGUAACGUGUCCCUGAUCCCUCUGCGCGGCAGCGAGAACGAGAUGAGGAACAGCGUUGCCGCUUUCGCUGCUGACCCGCUUGCAGUGAGUCCAAUCAUCCUCCGUACGGACGAGAUGCGCCGGCCGCACCGCGACUCUUCCUAAACCACCGUCCUCCCCGACCGCCUCUUUGCGUCCCGCGAGCCGAAGCUUCGGCACGCGGGGAGGAACCGGCCAUCUCGUCCGUACGGACCGUGUUUUACAUUGAUUUACCACAUGUUCAGUGCUCAUUGCAAGUGGAUCAAGGUCCCUCCCAGGCCAUCUCUGAUUUUACCGGAAGGCAUUCGCUGGUCUUCCUUCCUCCUGGGACACUGUUAGACGUGGACGUCCUUGCUCCAUUUGUGGAUAUUUAUUCCCGCACUGGACAAAUAUGUAUGUAAAUUAAUGUACGUACGUGUGCGCCUAUAUAUGUAUAUAUUUAAUAUACAUAUAAAUGAUGCAUACAGAUACAAAUGUGUGAUUACAAGUGGUCAGGAUUGCGGUUUCGAGUUUGAUUUUACUUGUAUUCUGUCUGCGUUUGUUUGUAUGUUGGGUGUCCUGGUGGUUGGUAAGCACAUUUUCCUUGUGUUCGGGAAGUUAUUUCGACUCUUUGAGGUUUUAUAUUUUUACGGUUAAAUUCCGGUCGUUGGAGACACAGGGAACUGGGGAAGAUGCUAAUCCUUGUUCUGUUUUUCAGCUUUUCAGAAAUGUAUGACGGCACGGCCGGGCUCUAAGGGCACAGGCCAGCAGGGGGCAGUGUUGCCCAGGAAGGAUGUGUGACAGCCAAGACCGUAGAACAUUCCAGCACCUCCUAACCUCAGGGGACCCUCAGAGAGCAUGACAGGACCUUGUUGAGCUGCACUCUCACUCCUCACGACUGCCACGGUGAUUUGAACCACUGACCGACUGGAGUCCCGACGCCGGAACGCCACCGCGAGGGUCGAGUCUCGUCCUUAGCCGUCAAAGUGCGAACAAGGGAGACUGAAGCCCGGGUCCGAUCCAGCAGCUGGUUGCGGGGGGGAGUCGAUCCUGAUCUUCUUUAACAAACCUCUUGUCGAACUUGCCGGACCUCCUGCCACCCGUCGUUCUUAGGCUCGGGGUCGGAGGGUGAAGAAAGCAUCUCCUCCUGGUUCCCCCUCCAGGAUUCAUGGGCUUUCUCUGAAGUUUAUCGGCUAUCGGAAGACGUACCUCCAGGGGACUCGAACGACGGCCUCUCCAUUCGCCAGGACGGAUGUGCUAAGGUGGUUGCCCUCCGUUUCCGUGAUGGACCCAGUUAAAGGGCCAGCGCUGAAUUUCAAAGCGAUCAGUGCCUUUAUACUCAACCAAACAUUGUGUUUUACUCUGUCAGAGAUCCAACAGCAAUUCUCCAAGGUGCUUGGCUGAUAUAUAUAAUUUUUUCAUUUUUUUGUCUGAAGGCAAUUCCUUUAAAGUCUUAUUUAAUGAAAAUAAACACUUACAGCAGACUCCAUUGUAGAGUUGAUAGUUUUAAUGUUUGAUUGUACCAGUUACUAAAAAAAAAAAUGUCUGAUAGGACAAGGAGUAGCUUUCUCUUCUUAGCAAAGUGUUACUUUACCUUAAUCUCCAGCGGGUUUUGUUCUGUUCUAAUAACAAUUUUAAAGACUAAGUUAUUUAUUGUGCAAAAGCUGGACGUUAUCCUUUUAAUACGCAGUGGGGGGUAAUAGAUUUUAUAUUAAAACGUGCUGAAUCCUCUUGUAAUAAAUGACCGUAGAGAUCAGUAAAGAUGAAGUCAUUGUGAUGACAGCGAAGCCACCGAGCAGCCUGGGAGGAGCCUCAUACACCCCGUUUCUCACUGUUGUAAAUUCCUCUGCAGGUGUAAAUAAAAGGAUAAA